CCAAGGGAUCGAGCAGGGUAAGGUAUUCUGUAAAAGCCGAAUCUCCAUGGAAAUGCCCGUGCUGGAAACAUUGCAAGGAAUCUGUUCUUUCCCGUGGGUCUCACAAAAGCAGAGGACAUUGAUGCAAUUUGCUCACCAAAGCCUGGGACCCAGAGACCUAGGACGCGCGUGCGCACAGAUGGCUGAAUCCAGACUGGAAACCAAAAGGAGGAACUCAUCAGGACAUCCGAGGUACCGAUCAGCACAGCAUCUUAAGAAUAAAGCAGUGGAACUCGCAGAGACCCUACACACAGACUGCACACAGGCACGGCCAGAGCUCAGCAGCCGGGACCCAGGAAAUGUGCCCAGACACAGGUCCAUCACAGGAGGAUGAGGCACCAGCCCUGGCUCCUCCAAGGUCAGGUACCGAGGCCUUGGCUGUGGGAAUCAUCAAGAGCCUUCUGAAAACCACUUCCUUGCCCACCACUGUGGCACAGCUCGCGGUAGACAUGGUGUGGGCAUGGUGCCCCGAGGGACCCAGCGGCUGCACCCUCAUCCUAACCAAAGGGAGAGGACACAGCUUCAGGUGGCUCAGAUGGGGCUGCGAUGCUGUAAAAGAGUGACAGAUCUCCUCCAGGAGUCUGACCCCCUUGUCUAUAUGGAGGCUAUCUCAGGGGUGGUUUAACCCCUACCUUUUAUUAGAUUUUAAUCAGGAGUGAUCAUGUUGAAUAUUUCAGAUUGCCUUUUGAAUGUGAUAUUUUUAAAAACCAUGUGAUGAAGAGGAAAACAUGAGGAAGCAUAAAUUUUUAAAAUUCAUUCUCUCUAUAUAAUAAUUCUACCAGGCAUUUACUGCUGCUCGGCUCUACAGACGGCCAAUCAGCAAGCAUCUUCCUGGUGGCUGAUGUUUCUGUUCUGUCUGACUGCUGACUGCCCUCACCAGCACAGCCAUUUAUGUGAACUCGCACGUUCUGACUGCACAACCAAGAAUUCAAACACAGGCUCCAUGCCCUACUCCUACUCCACCGAUUGCUUCCCUUCCUGAAUUCAGCAGGUGGUCCAUGUUGGCACAGAAAGGCCUGGCUGAGCACAUGAAUGCGCACGUGUGCACACACUACACAACCCAUGAGCUGGAUUGGAUUGAUCCCUGUCUCUCUCACAGACACACACACACACACACACACACACACACACACACUUCUUUGCACUCAGGCUACUGUUAGAAGAUCACAUCACAAGGGAUCACUUGUUGCCCCCCCUGCUUCCCUGCCACUCCUCCUGCUGAGAAGACACAGACCACAGAGGCUCUGAGGGUCACACACAGCCACAGGGGUGCCACACAAGAACAAUGGCCAGGAAUCAGCAGAUCCAUCCACCAUGCAUCAGGCCUUGUAGCUCCACAUGUCCUGCCUCUAAUGGGCUCCUCCACACAGAAGGUGUCCCCACACCUGGUAGCUCCGAAUCUCUACCAGGGUGGGGCAGACAUCUGAGAGGGUUUUUGGGUACCGUGGAUUGAACUCAUGACCUCAUGCUCGCCAGGCAAGCACUUGUGCCACUGAACUAAAUUUCCAGCCCAUAGACCCUUGAGAUUUAAAGUGACAUAGAUUCAGGCCAGGUUCCCAACAGGAUGCCCCUAGAGUGCAGAGUGGCUGUAUAUGUCUCUUAAGGAGCAGACAGGUUGGUGACAGGGCAUUCUCAUGGUGCGGCAGCCCACCACCAGCCCACAGGGGGUAGACAAGAGCAAGGUCCCUGCCACUCACUACCCACAGCCCAAAGUAGCCAGCAGAGGGGACAGGAAUGUGUCCCCUCCCAGUGGUGGUUCCUCUCCAGUGCAUGGUUCUGUGACACUGAGACAGAAGUGUAUCUAGAGGGAUAACAGCCAACCCUGACACUCUGCAGAAGAGUCUCUAGGCUCAUUAGUUUCCAACACAGAUCAGGAGUCCCUGGAGAAACCAGCGCUCCUGGUGUGUGAGCUUCAUCCAGAGCCAGCUGCUUCUGGUUCCUGGCAAGCUGAGCCCUAGCAGGAGCCACAGCUGGAAGAGGCCUAGCAUUGUAAGGCUCAGAGGCUGUGGUAUAGACUAACAGCUGUCCCCUAAACUGCUGGGGGAGCCGGGAUUCCUAGAGAAGCAGGGCCCACUGAGGAUGUACCUCUGUGUAUUUACGCUUGUGCAGGAGGCAGCUUUCCUCUCUCUAGAGAAAAAUAUUCCAUAUCUCCCACCUAAAGGAAGAAACAUUUAGUCUGGAUCAGGGGAUUCAGUCCAUGGUCAGCUGACUCUGACCAUCAUGUGGACAUCAUGGUGAAAGGGCAUGAUAGAAGGAAAGCUUCUCAUGUCAUGGGAAGCAGAGAAAGGAGGAGCCUGGCAUACAGAUGCACCCUUCCAGGAAUCCACCACCAACAAGGCUCCACUUCCUAACAGCAAGUCGGCUAAGAACUCCGCAAUGGGUCAGUUCACUUUUGAGUCCAGUGUCCCCUGAUGCAGUUACCUUCUGAAAGUCUCACUCUGAAUGCAUGAGAUUUUAGGGGGAAAUUCUAGGUCUCAACCAUGACUCCCUAAAUUGACAGGAUGAAAGAGAUUUGUUUGGCGAAGCAGCACACUAUCCAGGCUGGCCAGGCUAAAACCUGAGGGCCAUCUUGCCAGCUGGAGAGAGAGGGUGACCAACAGUGAGGUCCCUUCUGUAUCCAUUUCUGGGAAACACUUUCAUCUGGGUGAGCCCACUACAUACGAGGUCACUACCUCACUCCAGCAUGAAUGAUGGGGGUGGGAUGGGGGUCACUGUAGCUACCAAAGAACUGCAUGGCACACUGCUCAUCCUAGCUACGCUAAGCUCAACCCCAUAAUGACCAUGGAGAGACAGCAGGGAGGUCACACAGCAGCUCACCUCUCUCCUCCUGCCUUCUGUGAGGAGCACCUCUCGCUUCCUCUCUCUCUGCCUGCUCCACUAUGCAGCUCCUGGCCGAUGUUCACUCCCUGCUCAGCUGGGAGAAAGGGGGCCUGUCCCUCUUGGUUGACCAGAAACCCAGCCCCAGCCCCACGCUGAUCUUGUGCCUCAGUGUCUGUCCUCACUGUAGCAGGACCCACCUUACCUAAGGCAGUAGUGCUUAGCAAAUGCUUAUUAAAUAAAUGAAGGUUUCCACGAACUGAUAAUGUUACCAGCUUCCUAGUAUUCAAGAUUCUGUGAUGAUUACCCACAGAACUGACCCAAGAUGUUAUGGUUGAUACUUUGUGUCAACUUGAGAAGAAAUUUAGAAGUUUAACUAAGAGACUCAGCAGGGACCAGGAUCCUUACUUUGUAAAUAAUCCUCAUCCUGGCAAAAGGAUACACAGACAUUUUGUGAGUGCUACACCUGCCCUGGAGCAGGGGUGGUGGGCUGUGUACCCUAAAAGGGAGGAGAAGAGGCUUGUUUCCCCUUUUUGCUCUGGGUGCUGCCUUGAAAUGUUGCCCCAGUGCCAGGACACCCCUGCCUUAGAGCCAGCUGAUUAAAGACUGAAAUCUGAACAAACAGUGAGCUGAAUAAACCUUUCCUUCCUUCA